rnacentral:rRNA from 1 species
GACGAACGCUGGCGGCGUGCUUAACACAUGCAAGUCGAACGGAAAGGCCUGCUUUCCCUUGUGGAUUGCGGGUACUCGAGUGGCGAACGGGUGAGUAACACGUGAGUGAUCUGCCCCCAACUUGGGUAUAAGCCUGGGAAACUGGGUCUAAUUCCCGAUAGGACUGCAGGGUGGUGCCUGUGGUGGAAAACGAUUUUCUAGUGGUUGGGGAUGAGCUCGCGGCCUAUCAGCUUGUUGGUGGGGUAAUGGCCUACCAAGGCGGCGACGGGUAGCCGGCCUGAGAGGGUGGACGGCCACAUUGGGACUAAGAUACGGCCCAGACUCCUACGGGAGGCAGCAGUGGGGAAUAUUGCACAAUGGGCGGAAGCCUGAUGCAGCGACGCCGCGUGGGGGAUGACGGCCUUCGGGUUGUAAACUCCUUUCGACCGCGAGGAAGCCACCUGGUUGGAAGGGUGGUGACGGUAGUGGUAGAAGAAGCACCGGCUAACUACGUG